rnacentral:rRNA from 1 species
ACGCGAAGAACCUUACCUGGGGCUCGAAAUGUAGUGGACCUGGGGUGGAAACAUCCCUUCCCGCAAGGGCUGCUAUAUAGGUGCUGCAUGGCUGUCGUCAGCUCGCGUCGUGGGAUGUUGGGUUAAGUCCCGCAACGAGCGCAACCCUUAUUGUCAGUUGCCAUCAUUAAGUUGGGCACUCUGGCGAAACCGCCUCGGAUAACGGGGAGGAAGGUGGGGAUGACGUCAAGUCCUCAUGGCCUUUAUGUCCAGGGCUACACACGUGCUACAAUGGUCGGUACAAACCGUCGCAAACCUGCGAAGGGGAGCUAAUCGGAAAAAGCCGACCUCAGUUCGGAUUGGAGUCUGCAACUCGACUCCAUGAAGCUGGAAUCGCUAGUAAUCGCGGAUCAGAACGCCGCGGUGAAUACGUUCCCGGGUCUUGUACACACCG